CGGUCCUUGAACUCACCUUAGUUUGUGUCCAUGUAUAACUUUCUCCGACUUUCUAGGACGUGUUUUAUGCCACUUCUUUUUCUGUCUCAUUUUGUCCACCACCCUUUUAACGUGCGUGAAUGCACAAAGCAGCGGACAUCCUUUCCCGCGUCACGAGCUGUGUGUCUCAUCUUCCCGCGUUCACUCUGCUUCCCUGACUACCUCUUGAAUCUCGACCUCCCGCAUGGAAACUGACCUUCGACGCCUCGCUAUAGCCCUCGACUUCCUGCCUGCUCACGGACCUCCGAGCCAGCUUUCCCCCUCUUGGAUUCAACACUCCCGGAGGCGUGGCCGGCAGACCUACAGCGAGGCGGGGCACGCCGGGGCCGACUCCGAGAUGGCGGUGAGGAGGCGUGGCUGGCGGACCUGCAGCGAGGCUCCGAGAUGGAUGUCAGGUGCGCCCACCUGGGCGCAAUUCUUUAAUCACCUCCCAGUGUGUAAAAGGGCAGCAGCAGAGGAGGAUGGGGCAGAAGGAGUUGGAGAGCCAGCAGUACAUGCAGAGUAAAAACGACCGAGAGCGAGACGAAGGCGACGACGCGGGAGGCUGAAAAGCAACCGAAGAGCGAGCAGUGGAGGAGGAGCUGAAAAGCGACCCGACGAGACAAAGGUUUUAUUGAAAGAAUAAAACGAAGUCACAAACUGCUCGCCGUCAUGUCAGUUCUUGGUGGUCCAUGGAACUCGGAGGGAGGAAAAC